rnacentral:misc_RNA from 1 species
GUCCCAAGCCACUUUCAAGCGUCAAGAUCAAGAUCAAAUAUCAAGAUCAAAAUUAAGAUCAAGAUGGAAGACGAGGGACAACAAGAGACUCUUCCUGUUGGUGUAGAUGAACUACCGCCGCCUCAAGAGAGCAAGCAACAACAUAGUGGCAAGAUUCAGCCUACCAAGAAAAUUGAUGUGCUGCUGAAAGCAACUGGAGAUGCACCAAUUAUGAAAAAGAAAAGGUGGGCAGUGGAGGGAGAGAAGCAAGUGGGCUGGGUAGCUGAGUUCAUCCGAAAGUAUCUGAAGCUGGACCAGAAUGACUCUUUGGUGGUGGACCUCCUGCCAACCUUCCUCUCUCCCAGCUCGAUGAGUUAAUCUUUGAGAUUUUGGACCCCAAGAAUGUCUCUAUUCAUGGGUGUACCAAUAAGUGUACAAGCAGCCCAACAGAGAGAAGUGGUGACCAAGGCAGUGGGUGUUGAGGAGGAGGCACCUGCCACACCACUUGCAGCACCAACAGGGGCCAGACUUGCCUGGUACAUCACUGGUGUUUGUGGAUGAGGAGGAGAUCAUCCACCUGCAGAAGAAAAGGAAGCUUGAGCUUGCACUCCUUGAAGAAUCUAUAAUGGCUCAGGAAAGGAAGCAAGAAGCAGAACAGGCUAAGUACAUGUACUACACACAAAAACUAGAGUACCUGAAACAAACAAAUAAAAAAUAGUAAUAAAGAUAUAAAUAAUGU